rnacentral:misc_RNA from 1 species
AACACUGUUAACCUGCGGUACCUGCGGAAGGAUCAUUACAAAGUGUUUAACCCCCUAUAAAAUGGUGGGUCUAACCUCCCGUCCUUUGCUGGGUCCCCCUUCUGGAGGACUUUCAAAACUUUCUGCUUCGGCGGGGUAUACCCGCCGGAACACCCUCAAAAAAUUCUUGAUCAAAAUGGUUCGGUCCGAGAAACUUUUUGUGAAAAUUAGCGAAAAACUUUUAACAAUGGAUCUCAGAUC